rnacentral:rRNA from 1 species
UACGUAGGGGGCGAGCGUUGUCCGGAUUUAUUGGGCGUAAAGAGCUCGUAGGCGGUUUGGCAAGUCGGGUGUGAAAACUCCGGGCUCAACUCAGAGACGCCACUCGAUACUGCCAUGACUCGAGUCCGGUAGGGGAGUGCGGAAUUCCUGGUGUAGCGGUGAAAUGCGCAGAUAUCAGGAGGAACACCGGUGGCGAAGGCGGCACUCUGGGCCGGUACUGACACUGAGGCACGAAAGCGUGGGGAGCAAACAGG